rnacentral:rRNA from 1 species
UACGGAGGGGGCUAGCGUUGUUCGGAAUUACUGGGCGUAAAGCGCACGUAGGCGGCUUUCUAAGUCGGGGGUGAAAUCCUGGAGCUCAACUCCAGAACUGCCUUCGAUACUGGAAAGCUCGAGUCCGGGAGAGGUGAGUGGAACUGCGAGUGUAGAGGUGAAAUUCGUAGAUAUUCGCAAGAACACCGGUGGCGAAGGCGGCUCACUGGCCCGGUACUGACGCUGAGGUGCGAAAGCGUGGGGAGCAAACAGG